rnacentral:rRNA from 1 species
UACGUAGGCAGCAAGCGUUGUUCGGAAUUACUGGGCGUAAAGAGUGUGUAGGCGGUGCUCCAAGUCUGGUGUGAAAUCUCCCGGCUUAACUGGGAGGGUGCGCCGAAAACUGGAAUGCUCGAGCGUGGGAGAGGAAAGCGGAAUUCCUGGUGUAGCGGUGAAAUGCGUAGAUAUCAGGAGGAACACCAGCGGUGUAGACGGCUUUCUGGACCAUUGCUGACGCUGAGACACGAAAGCGUGGGUAGCAAACAGG